GAUGGGUUUUUUCAGACCGUAGUCAGUUUUCCUGCCUUUGCAUUUUGCAGAUUAAGUUUAUAGAGUCAGUCAUCUUUCCCAUUUCCAAAGAAGGGUUGUUUUUCUUUCUCUUCUUUUUGGUUAGUGAACUGUUUUCUCUUUCACUAAUUUAGAGUGCUAACUUUGGCCCUGUUUCCAUUAGGAGAUGAAAGCAUGGAAAUAAAAAAGCAAAUUACAGGGAUGAGAAGAUUGCUGAACGACAGCACUGGGCGGAUCUAUCAGCGAGUUGGCAAAGAAGGAGAGAAUGAGUUACUUUAAAAGACAGGGAGACACAAAGGAAAGAGUUGAAGACUAUUAAAAAACAGAAUUGAGA
rnacentral:lncRNA from 1 species